CGCCCUAGAAGUCAGUACGGCGAGUCCAAGGAAAAAUCACAUGCCUUUGCUCAAACUUUCCUACUUCCAAGAGGCGAUGGAGACUUACGAAAGAAAAUACCAGUGGUAUAUGACUCCACUAAGGACCCCUUUGUCCUACAGCUCAUUGAGGAAGUAAACAAGUUGAAGGCCGAACGUUAGGCCGAGAUACCUGACUGGAACCAACCCAGGCCUUGCCCUCUCAUAAGGAGGAUCCUCGACACCCCCUUCAAGCAAAGACAAAACAAAAGCUUGGUUUAUAACUCUAUACUGGAAGGG
rnacentral:lncRNA from 1 species